GGGCCCGUAGCUUAGCCUGGUAGAGCGCCCGGCUCAUAACCGGGCGGCCAAGGGUUCAAAUCCCUUCGGGCCCAC
rnacentral:tRNA from 3 species